UACGGAGGGGACUAGCGUUGUUCGGAAUUACUGGGCGUAAGCGCACGUAGGCGGAUUUGUAAGUCAGGGGUGAAAUCCCGAGGCUCAACCUCGGAACUGCCUUUUGAUACUGCAAAUCUCGAGUCCGGAAGAGGUGAGUGGAAUUCCUAGUGUAGAGGUGAAAUUCGUAGAUAUUAGGAAGAACACCAGUGGCGAAGGCGGCUCACUGGUCCGGUACUGACGCUGAGGUGCGAAAGCGUGGGGAGCAAACAGGG
rnacentral:rRNA from 1 species